rnacentral:lncRNA from 1 species
GUAACCCCUAUUCCAGAUUAUGAUGGAGUUACCAGAAAUUUGGGUAUUGAAACUGGUUGUGGCAUGUGCUUUUUGUCUGCAUAUAUUUAUCAUAUCAGUUUCUGGCUCUGCAACUGAAGGUUAGUAGGUUAAGAUUAUAAUUCUUUUAGAUCAUGAUGUCUAUUACCUGGUAUAUUUUCCAAUGAUGAUAGCAAAAAAUUUAAUAUAAACGAAAGGUCAACUGAUGAUCAAGGUUAAAACGAGAAAAAACAAACAAAAUUUGUGAGGAUAAAGAAACAGAACUGAUAGUUUUAUGCUUUCCAGUUUCCACCCACAGAAUCUUAAAAUCAUUUUACACUUUCUUUUAUUUAUGUUGCUCAAAUAUAUUUAGGGCAAAAUCCCUUUUAGUACAAAAUAAGUCUAAUCCGUGACAUUUUUUGUAGGGUUUGAAAACAUAGCAUGUUGUGCUGAUUCAAAUUACACAGAUCCCCAGACCACCUUAAAUUACACAACAGAUUACACAUGGUUCCCUAACAGAGGAAGCUGCAGAAGACAUGAAAUUGGUUUGAAUGAAAAAGUUCGACUGUUUUCUAUAGAUGAAGGAAAGAGAUGUUACAAUUUACCAACAAUUAAGAAUAAAGUAUAUCUGAUAAGGGGCACAUUUCCAUUUGACAGUAUAAAUUCUUCAUUUAAUGUUUCAAUUGGGGCAACACAAUUAGGUGCAGUGAGACCAUCCACGCCACAGGACUUGGAAAUUGAGAUUGAGGGAGUUUUUAGGGCUACCAAAGACUACAUUGACUUCUGCUUAGUGAAGGGGGAGGUGGAUCCGUUUAUUUCUCAGCUGGAAUUAAGGCCAUUGCCAGAAGAUUACCUACAUGAUUUGCCUGCCAGCGUUUUAAAAUUGAUAAGCAGAAAUAGUCUCUGGGACACAAAAGAUGAAAUCAGGUAUGUCAUAUACUUUAGUUUGAGGUAAACUUCACCAUUUAUCAAAGUGUAUCUCAUAGAAAUCUACAAGGCUUUGGAAUUAUCACUUUAUGGUUUUUAUGAAAGCAUUAUGUUCACAAUAUAGGGAAUGGAUGUUAAAUAUUCAAUUAACGUGUUUAUGGGAUAAAUAAUAGCAAUUUUGCAUUUUUUUCUUGCUAAUGCUUUAGACAGAAUGAAGUUGAGCUCCAUGUGCAAGGAUCAUAUACCUAUAGAUGCAUGAGAUAACCUAUGUUCACCUAAUAGACAGAAGUGUAAGAAACCUUUAUGUACAGCUUCUUUUCUUUAUGAUGCAAUAAGAUGCAUCGUAAUGAAAAUAACAAUAAAACGAGAAGCCAAAAACCUAUUAUCACUUAAUCCAUUAUAAUGUGACUCACAUGAAUUACUGUCAUAACUUAUAUACCAUAAGUGGUGCAAAUUGAAAAAAGGGUGUCAAUGGGAUUUAUCCUUAGUUUAUUGAAGUGAUUUGUGUUUAGUGUUUGGUUUAUAGUUUUGUUUUGCUUCUUGGUACCAUGGACCAUGGAUGGAAGGUCUUAUAAUAUGGCUAUUUACCAAAUUAUAGGUUCCCAGAUGACCCAAGUGAUAGAAUGUGGAAAGCAACUUCAAGUCCAUCAUCUGCUCUCCCGUUGUCUUACAAUGUUAAAAAUUUUGAGCUCAAAUCCAACAUGACACCACCUCUACGAGUCCUACAGACAGCUCUUACCCACCCUGAGAGAUUGGAGAUCCACAGCAGCCUUGACACUGAGGAUUAUGAAUAUCGUGUAUUUCUCUACUUCCUUGAAUUAAAUAGCACUGUCAAAGAAGGGAAAAGGGUGUUUGACAUCUAUGUUAAUAGCAAGAUUCAAAGGGAAAAUUUUGACAUAUUGGCGAGAGGGUCCAACUAUACAUACACUGUCUUGAAUGUUUCAGCAAACGGUUUACUUAAUUUAACCUUGGUCAAGACAUCUGGUGCUGAGUUUGGACCCCUUUUGAAUGCUUAUGAGAUCCUGCAAAUGCGAUCAUGGAUCGAAGAGACCAACCAAAAAGAUGGUAGUGUGUCUGUGUUGCAUUCCUCCUUUUUUGGGUGGGGUUAUUGCACUUGGGACCUAUUUGGAUAAACUUCUCUCUAAGAAUUUCUACAAGAAAGAGCUAAUGAGAAAAAAAAAAAAACAUCAGCUUCUUCACAAGUUAAAAUUAUUUUACAAAUAAACUUUGUAGAAACUUUCACGCAUAGCUUCUCUAGAUUUUUAUUUUUUAAUUUGUGGUGAGCUAAUUUUGAGUAGUUCAUAAAUUUUUUCUUGUUUUUCUCUUUUAGAAAACCUUAUGGAGAAGGUUGUCCAAAUAGACUCUUAGCUUUUUACAUUCCAUUUUCUUAUUCAUUUCUAUAAUUAAGAUGGUUUAUGGAUGUAUUUUAAUUUGUAACCAGUCUUCAAUCUCUUUCUCUCUUAUUUUUACUUUAGUGGAAGUGAUUCAGAAGAUUAGAGAAGAACUGUUGUUGCAAAACCAAAACACUAAAGUGCUAGAGAGUUGGACCGGAGACCCUUGUAUUUUCCCCUGGCACGGAAUAGAGUGUGAUGGUUCAAAUGGCUCGUCUGUUAUCACCAAGCUGUAAGUCCUCCAGUUCUAGUUAAAACACUGCCACAUGUAUAUCAACUCGGAUUAUGGAUUUAGUAACCCAAGACUAGAUGAUCAUAGUGGAAAUGAAAUGCAACCCUGGUGAAUUUAAUCCAGAGUCAGUGAUUUGAAUUCUUACGAGAUUCAAAAACUUUCACAGCUGAGUUUUUGAAAAAAAUAAGAGAAGAUGUAUUUUUACUCCAUGCAUACUUUACUAAACAUCCACUCAAUCUCACAACUAUGUCUAUAGGAAUACCUAGUCAAAGACCAUUAUAUAGACAAUGGUUUUAAUGCUUUGAUACAUGCAAUUGCCAACCAAUCCAUAUCUCUAGCUAAGUAGGUUCUUGUUUAGAUAAAUGAAGUGUUUUUUUACGCGCUUAUUCCCCUUUUCAUAAUCAAUUUAUUGUUAUCUACAUUUUUUCUCUAUUUCCAGGGAUCUUUCCUCAAGUAAUUUCAAAGGACCAAUUCCUUCUACUGUUACUGGGAUGACCAACUUAAAAAUACUGUAUUGCCUUCAAAACUCUCUUUCAAUUGUUUCUGCAUCUAUUUUUGGAGGAUAACCUGGGACUCUGUUAUAUGCAUGGAUGUAACUAUUUGGUCAUGUGCAGGAACCUGAGCCACAACAAUUUCAAUGGUUAUAUUCCCUCGUUUCCACCAUCCUCCUUGUUGAUAUCAAUGUAAUGAUCCCUUCUAAUGUAUAGCUAUGCUAGAUGUAAAUUAUAGUACUUCUAUUAUACUUGUUAGUGUUAUCAUGAAAAUAGAACCAAAACACAUAAUUACUGAACGAAUUGCUAGUUAGGUUCACUUUUACACGACUCAACAUGCAUUUACCUGAAAUUUGAUUUAAAUGGGUGGCAAAAAUUGCAUGAUUUAAUAAACAAGUUUAGUUCCUAGCCUUCGUUCUCCUUCUUGAAGCAGCGAGGAAGCAUAACCGUGUAGUAUUACAUGGAUU